UUAAGGCAUAACAAAUGAAAACUAAUAAACAUUAAUAAUAUUAGAAUGUAUUAAUAAAAUAUCUAUUAUUUUGUCUUUUAUUAUAUUGUUAUGUUCUUAAAUUAGUUGAGCCUACACUCUACACUUCUACAGUUGUACAGUUUAUUUUUCAAUCGCGGUGUCUAUGUGCAUAAAAUUAUUAAUAUUACAUUUAUAAGACAUUUUGUCAAUGUUAGUUGAUUAAACGACAAAAUAGUAAGUUACAUUUCAUUUAUAUUUUCUAUAAAUUAAAUUAAUAAGUAAUUUAGUAAUAUUAUUCUUGGUAUAAUGGAUAAAAAAAAGUGUGAAACGUGGAAUAAUUUUGAAGUGGUUGAUGGUGAAAAAGCAAAAUGCAAUUUUUGUUCUAAUACUAUUUCUUAUAAAGGGGGUUCUACGGCUAAUUUAACGAGACAUUUAAAACGAAAACACAUAGUUCAAUACGAAGCCAGGAAUUCUCGAAAAAAACAUCGAUGAACCUGAUGUUUCCGUAUCCGAACCUUCCCAUUCUAAUUUAACUACUAUUACACCUAUAAUUAAAAAUAAAACAGCUAGCGUUACAAAAACACAAGUAUCCAUAGAUGCGUAUACAUCAAGGCCGAUGCCUAUUUCGAAAUCUAAAAAAAUUGAUGAGCAGUUAGGUAUAAUGAUGGCUAAAGAAUACCAACCGUUUAGUUUGGUUGAAAAUAAAGAGUUUAAAAAAUUUGUAUCAUUAUUAAAUCCAAGCUAUUCUUUGCCAAGUAGAAAAACAAUUACUUAUAAUAUUUUACCUCAAUUAUUAGAAAACACCAGGGAAAAGGUUAAAAGGAGUUUAGAUAAUGCAUCAUAUAUAGCAAUGAGUACGGACGGUUGGAUAUCUGUUAAUAAUGAAAGUUAUGUCGCUGUUACAGUACAUUUUAUUGAUACUGAACUAUGCGUUUUAAAAUCUCAUUUACUAGGAUGCUAUUAUUUUGAAUUAUCACAUACAGCAAUCAAUUUAUCGAUAUUUUUAAACAAUUGUUUUGAAGAGUGGAGUAUUGUAAAUAAAGUUAAAAUAGCUAUUAGCGAUAACGCUAGUAAUAUUACAGCUGCAAUAAGUUCAAAUAAAAAUUGGAAACACAUUCCUUGUUUAGCGCAUAGCAUUAAUUUGAUAGCCCUAUGUGGGUUAGAAGAAAUUAAAGAAAUACAUAAAAAAGUUAAAAAAAUAGUAGAGCAUUUUAAGCGUAGUUCUCAAGCAGCAGCAAAAUUAAAAAACACACAAAUUCAGAUGAAUUAGCCAGUACUAAAACUGAAACAAGAUGUGAUAACGAGAUGGAACUCGACUUAUGAUAUGUUUAAUAGGUGAUUAGAGACAAAAGAUCCAUUACUAUCCACUUUGGCUAUGAUUGGUAAUACUGAAAUGUUGAUGGCGUCAGAUUUUAAUUUAAUGGAUUUAUUAUUGCAAACUUUUUAAGCCUUUUAAAGAAGUUACAAUUGAGUUAAGUUCGGAAAAAGGGGUAUCAAUUUCCAAAGUUAUAGUUCUCACAAAUGCAUUGUUAUCUCACAUAAAAACAAUGAGAACUGAGAAAAACUUACCACUUGAUAUUUAUUCUAUGAUUUUAAAGAUAGAAAAUAAAGCCGAAAACAGAUUUGCCGGUAUGGAAGACAAUUCUACUUUUGCUGAAGCAACUUUAAUUGAUCCACGUUUUAAAAAAAAAAGGAUUUAGUAGCGAGACAUAUUAUAUCCGUACUUAUCAAAACGUCGUGCGCGAGAUUUCAAGUAUAAUUAAACGCAAAAGACAAUCUAUUAAUCAAGAAGAAAAUAUAGUUACAGAUAACGAACAAAUCACUAUGUCAACUGAAAAAAAAGAAACCUUUGAGAUAUGGAAAGAAUUUGAUUCACAGGUAAAAAAAGUUACAACAGUGAGAACUGACACUUCCGAUGCAAUUGUGGAAUUAGAUAAAUUUCUUAAUGAGCCUUUAAUCCCAAGGAAAUCAGAUCCUCUUGUAUGGUGGAAGGAAAUGAAACGUAUAUAUCCAAAUAUAUACCAUUUGAUGUUACAAAGAUUGGGAGUGCCAUCAACAUCAGUUCCAUGCGAACGAACGUUUUCUAAAGCCGGAUACACACAAACAGACAGGCGUAAUAGACUUUCCAUAAAAAAUAUGGAAACAUUAAUGUUUUUAAAUGGCAAUCUAUAAUACAUAUUUCAGGUAACUU